UUCCAUACUUAGAGGACACUUUGCAUUGGCAGCACAUGCUUCAGUGCUCUGGGAGUGUUUAUAGCGCUGUGACUUUCACACUUCAUGACUGAGAGCUGCUGCUACAGAAACUUCACCCACAGCUACCAUGACUUUGAUCCCCGUCUUCAUCUGGACACUGAUCCUCUGGACUCAAGAAUGCAGAGGUCAAGCAACAGUAACUCAGACUCCUGCAGUGAAAUCUGUUCUUCCAGGAGAAACAGUCACCAUCAACUGUAAAACUAGUCAGACAGUCUCUUCUCACAGCACAUAUGGUAAUCGCUUAUUCUGGUAUCAGCAGAAACAUGGAGAAGCUCCUAAACUGCUCAUUAAAUACGUAAAGGAGCUAUUGUCAGGUGUUCCAGCUCGUUUUAGUGGCAGUGGAUCUGGAACUGAUUUCACUCUGACCAUCAGUGGAGUCCAGACUGAAGAUGCAGGAGAUUAUUACUGUCAGAGUCACCACAGCAUCUCAGGCUACUGGUUCACACAGUGAUAUAGAGUCGUACAAAAACCUCCCUCAGUCAGAUAGUAGAGAAACUGCACUGCUGCAGCUGGGAGCGACUGCAGGUGCUGAGUUGGAGGAUGUGAUACGACACAAUGAAACUCUGUGGAGGAGAAGAACCACAUCACACUAACUCACACCUCACAUUAGAAAUCUCUCAAUUACCAUCACACCACACUAUACACACUCCAUCACACAACAUUG